CAUCCUCAGGGCUGGGUCCCCCUGGCUGGGCCGGUGCGGGGAUGAGGAGGGUGGGCUUGAGGAAGAUGGUGUCCGAGGUGUAGAGGCGGUUGGCGCGCUUGAUCUGCUCCAUCUGCCGGGGAUGGGGACAGAGGUGGCACAGGGACAGGAUAGGGGUGGGGACAGGGAUGGGGACAGAGGUGGCACAGGGACAGGAUAGGGGUGGGACAGAGAUGGGGACAGAGGUGGCACAGACAGGAUAGGGGUGGGGACAGGGAUGGGGACAGAGGCGGCACAGGGACAGGAUAGGGUUGGGGACAGGGAAUGGGAUGAGGACAGAGAUAAGGACAGGAUGGGGACGGCGAUGGGAUGGGGACAGUCACAGAGACAGGAUGGGGACGGGCCAGGAGGGGCCAAGGACAGCGGUGGCCCCGUGGGGACCCCGGGCUCGUCCUGUCCCCGCAGCCCCGCGGAUCCCGCCCCCCCCGGGUGUCCCCCCGCGUCACCCCCGCGGCCUCUCACCGUC